AUUAGAUUAAAUAGAGUGGUGGAUCUGUUAACUUCGGUUAACCCCAGUAGAGAACCUACUACAUAUCAAAGUGGUAAACAUGUGAAAUUCUUUUAUUAAAAGUUAGUAAGACGAGGGUUCGAAUCCCUCAUGCUCCA
rnacentral:tRNA from 1 species